ACUCAAAGGAAUAGACGGGGACCCGCACAAGCGGUGGAACAUGUGGUUUAAUUCGAGGCAACGCGAAGAACCUUACCAGGAUUCGACAUGCUCUCUAUGGACUCCCGAAAAGGAGUCCUUCACUUCGGGUGGGAGAAGCACAGGUGCUGCAUGGCUGUCGUCAGCUCGUGUCGUGAGAUGUUGGGUUAAGUCCCGCAACGAGCGCAACCCUCGUCCUCUGUUGCUACCAGGUAAUGCUGAGCACUCUGAGGAAACUGCCGGUGAUAAGCCGGAGGAAGGUGGGGAUGACGUCAAGUCCUCAUGGCCCUUACAUCCUGGGCUACACACGUGUUACAAUGGCGGUGACAAUGGGUCGCGAAAGCGCAAGCUGGAGCCAAUCCCCAAAAGCCGCCUCAGUUCGGAUUGUUCUCUGCAACUCGAGAACAUGAAGCUGGAAUCGCUAGUAAUCGUGGAUCAGCACGCCACGGUGAAUACGUUCCCGGGUCUUGUACACACCGCCCGU
rnacentral:rRNA from 1 species